AACGAACGCUGGCGGCAUGCCUAACACAUGCAAGUCGAACGAGAUCUUCGGGUCUAGUGGCGCACGGGUGCGUAACGCGUGGGAAUCUGCCCUUUGGUUCGGAAUAACAGUUGGAAACGACUGCUAAUACCGGAUGAUGACGAAAGUCCAAAGAUUUAUCGCCAGAGGAUGAGCCCGCUUAGGAUUAGCUAGUUGGUGUGGUAAAGGCGCACCAAGGCGACGAUCCUUAGCUGGUCUGAGAGGAUGAUCAGCCACACUGGGACUGUGACACGGCCCAGACUCCUACGGGAGGCAGCAGUGGGGAAUAUUGGACAAUGGGCGAAAGCCUGAUCCAGCAAUGCCGCGUGAGUGAUGAAGGCCUUAGGGUUGUAAAGCUCUUUUACCCGGGAUGAUAAUGACAGUACCGGGAGAAUAAGCUCCGGCUAACUCCGUGCCAGCCGCCGCAGUAA
rnacentral:rRNA from 1 species